GUGGCUUCCUGUGUUCUAAAAGAAUUGUUUUUUCUUGAAUCUACAUGUUUCCAUCAUGAAAUGAUCCGGUUUUUGAGGUGAAGAUCUGUUUGGAAGGCGAGAAACGAGCUCAUCUUUUCUAACAAGGAGAUUAGUCCGGCCAAAGUGACUAAAGACAUAAAAUUGAUUGGGUAUUUGUGGAUUAGAAAUAGAUCUUCAUGUAAAUUGAUAGAUUGGUCGGAUUAGUGUAGGUUUUGUUUGUAAGCGG
rnacentral:lncRNA from 1 species